rnacentral:rRNA from 1 species
GAUGAACGCUGGCGGCGUGCCUAAUACAUGCAAGUCGAGCGAACAGAUGAGGAGCUUGCUCCUCUGACGUUAGCGGCGGACGGGAGAGUAACACGUGGAUAACCUACCUAUAAGACUGGGAUAACUUCGGGAAACCGGAGCUAAUACCGGAUAAUAUAUUGAACCGCAUGGUUCAAUAGUGAAAGACGGUUUUGCUGUCACUUAUAGAUGGAUCCGCGCCGCAUUAGCUAGUUGGUAAGGUAACGGCUUACCAAGGCAACGAUGCGUAGCCGACCUGAGAGGGUGAUCGGCCACACUGGAACUGAGACACGGUCCAGACUCCUACGGGAGGCAGCAGUAGGGAAUCUUCCGCAAUGGGCGAAAGCCUGACGGAGCAACGCCGCGUGAGUGAUGAAGGUCUUCGGAUCGUAAAACUCUGUUAUUAGGGAAGAACAAAUGUGUAAGUAACUAUGCACGUCUUGACGGUACCUAAUCAGAAAGCCACGGCUAACUACGUG